GAGAGAGAGAGAGAGAGAGAGAGAGCAAGAGGAAGAGGAGGGAGAGGAGAAGGAGGUGAUAGAGGGAGGAGGAGGAAGAAAGGAAAAGGAGAGAGAAAGAAAAAGAAAUGAAGAGGAGAAGGAAAGAGAAUGAAGAGAAGAUGAAUAAGAAGAAGAAAAAGAGGAAAGAGAGAGAAGAGAAAGAAGAAAAAGUUGGAGAGAGGGAAAAGGGGAGCUGUCACUAAUUCAUGGGGAAAGUAUGG
rnacentral:misc_RNA from 1 species